rnacentral:rRNA from 1 species
AUGAACGCUGGCGGCGUGCCUAAUACAUGCAAGUCGAGCGAACAGACGAGGAGCUUGCUCCUCUGACGUUAGCGGCGGACGGGUGAGUAACACGUGGAUAACCUACCUAUAAGACUGGGAUAACUUCGGGAAACCGGAGCUAAUACCGGAUAAUAUAUUGAACCGCAUGGUUCAAUAGUGAAAGACGGUUUUGCUGUCACUUAUAGAUGGAUCCGCGCCGCAUUAGCUAGUUGGUAAGGUAACGGCUUACCAAGGCAACGAUGCGUAGCCGACCUGAGAGGGUGAUCGGCCACACUGGAACUGAGACACGGUCCAGACUCCUACGGGAGGCAGCAGUAGGGAAUCUUCCGCAAUGGGCGAAAGCCUGACGGAGCAACGCCGCGUGAGUGAUGAAGGUCUUCGGAUCGUAAAACUCUGCUAUUAGGGAAGAACAAAUGUGUAAGUAACUAUGCACGUCUUGACGGUACCUAAUCAGAAAGCCACGGCUAACUACGUG